rnacentral:rRNA from 1 species
UACGUAGGGUGCAAGCGUUGUCCGGAUUUAUUGGGCGUAAAGAGCUCGUAGGCGGUCUGUUGCGUCGAUUGUGAAAACCCGGGGCUCAACCCCGGGCCUGCAGUCGAUACGGGCAGACUAGAGUUCGGCAGGGGGGACUGGAAUUCCUGGUGUAGCGGUGAAAUGCGCAGAUAUCAGGAGGAACACCGGUGGCGAAAGCGGCUCACUGGACCAUAACUGACGCUGAGGUGCGAAAGCUAGGGUAGCAAACGGG